ensembl:snRNA U6 U6 spliceosomal RNA
GUGCUCACUUCAGUAGCACAUAUAAUAAAAUGGAAUGAUACAGAGAAGAUUAGCAUGGCCCUUGUGCAAGGAUGACAAGCAAAUUAGUGAAGUGUUCCAUAUUUUU